rnacentral:rRNA from 1 species
AGUGAACGCUGGCGGUAGGCCUAACACAUGCAAGUCGAACGGCAGCACAGUAAGAGCUUGCUCUUACGGGUGGUGAGUGGCGGACGGGUGAGGAAUACAUCGGAAUCUACUUUUUCGUGGGGGAUAACGUAGGGAAACUUACGCUAAUACCGCAUACGACCUACGGGUGAAAGCAGGGGAUCUUCGGACCUUGCGCGAUUGAAUGAGCCGAUGUCGGAUUAGCUAGUUGGCGGGGUAAAGGCCCACCAAGGCGACGAUCCGUAGCUGGUCUGAGAGGAUGAUCAGCCACACUGGAACUGAGACACGGUCCAGACUCCUACGGGAGGCAGCAGUGGGGAAUAUUGGACAAUGGGCGCAAGCCUGAUCCAGCCAUACCGCGUGGGUGAAGAAGGCCUUCGGGUUGUAAAGCCCUUUUGAUGGGAAAGAAAAGCAGCAGGUUAAUACCCCGCUGUUCUGACGGUACCCAAAGAAUAAGCACCGGCUAACUUCGUG